UCUCCGUAGGUGAACCUGCGGAGGGAUCAUUACAGAGUUCAUGCCCUACCGGGUAGAUCUCGCACCCUAUGUUAUUAUUACUUUGUUGCUUUGGCGGGCCGUUAGGCUCCGGCCCGACUACCGGCCCCGGCUGGUAAGCGCCCGUCAGAGGACCCAAAACCCUGAAUAUUAGUGUCGUCUGAGUACUAUAUAAUAGUUAAAACUUUCAACAACGGAUCUCUUGGUUCCG
rnacentral:misc_RNA from 1 species